AUAAGAUAUUAAUUCACCGAUGAAAAGGUUACAAAUUAUAUACAAGGAAGCAGAAAAAAGUAAAAAAGAUGAAAGAAAAGAAGAAAUGAGAAAAACAAAUCCAACUAUUCAUUGUCAAAUUAAGAAUCAACGCGUAACAAGUUUUUCAUCUAACAACGAUCACGAUAAAUAAUUCAUCGUGAACAGGCCGCGAGUGAAAAGAAGGGUAAUGCGAUUCAGCAAAUCAGCUGGGAAACUUGAAGCGAGCAGACACAUUUAUGUGAUAAUAGAAAAUUAUAUCCCGUGGAAAAAGAACGGGAAAAGGGAAUGUUAGCUUCUCGUGCGUACCACAGCGAGAAGAUAAAACCGUAUGAAAGUUUCGGAUUCGUGUGAAAGUGCGCGGAAUCUUCUCUCGAUUCUGCUACACUCUUGAGAACCAUGAGCAUCUCGUUGGAUAGCGAAGACAAUUGAAAGCAGAAUUGAAUAAAUUUUUACUUUUAGACGAAUUAAAAAAAUAAUUGAUACGAUUUAAUUCUUUAUUUUUCGAUUGUGAAUUUUAUUUAUUCUAAUAAUUUUAAAUUAAAUAAGUAGACGAUUUCUUUUUAUAAAAUAUUAUAAUUGUGGUAAGUUGAGAAUUGUGUAAUUAUCAGGUCGGUGUAAAAAAGAUUUAUUUCAUGGCGGUUAGCUUCCAUAUUUAUCGAUAAUAAAUUUAUCAACAGUUGAAAUAGAGAUUGCACAACUGUUAAUGUCAUUUAUGAACGCGCAAGAAAUUGACACUCUCUUUGACGAAUAUGGUUGUAUCAUCGUGCCAUUUUAAGAGUACCAAGCUUUUCCAGAUGAUUCACCCUAAGCGAGUUUAGAAGCGACGCGUCGUUUAAUUAGAGAGGAAAGUGCGGCAGAAGCGUGGCUAACGAGCGCGAAUGGAAGAGAGUCGAUGACGACGAUGACGAUGACGACGGCGACAACGACGACGAUACAACGUCGAGAACAAAAGGAAACGAGAAUAAAAAAACGAGUCGCGGUGCCAGUUUCGCAAUAUCGCGGCUCGACGGCAAGAUAGAUAAAGAUCGAGAGACGAGCACACUGGCGAAGCUUCUUGCACAUCGUGGGGAUGGAUGCACAGUCCACUGCACGUGGGAAGGUCGUGGCUAUGAAUCGAAGAUCGUGAGAUCUCCGCAAAGAGCGCACUUUCUAUUAGGAUUCACUUUACCUGAGGUUCACCGAGUUGCACCGUGAUGCACCUCGAAAUUGUCGCUGAAAUUCAUCUUCUGAGAAAAUAUAUUAUAGCGAUAAAUUUAUAUCGAUAUAUUUCGAGGCCGCACAAUGUCGUGAUUUAUUCUCAGAAACGGGAGAAAAUUGAUCUUCUUGAGUACUUUACAUGUUAUACUUUCGUGAAAUUGAUUGAAUAGAAACUCCGUCCAUGGUAUAUGAAUAGAAACGUUAGUAAGUGUGGAUGAUCGUAUGGAUUAUAUUUGGAAUCGUGGUAUAAUCGAAAGAUGAUUCGUUUGACUUAAAAGUGAAAAAAGAUAUCGAAUAAAAUAUUUUCCAUUUUUUUGAGAAAGUUAGAUUUGAAAAUUCUUACUUCAAAUCUUUCAAACUUCGAAGAGAAAAAAUUAUUGACUCGUUUAUUUUCUCUGGUUAACGGCCAUCGAUUUCUGCGAGAUUUCACCAAGUAAGUGCCAUCCGCGGAGAAAUUUUAGAAUAAUAAAAUGAAACUAGCCUACUAUUUUGUUCAGAAGUUUUAGCUUCUUUCUUUCUUUCUGCGAGAUAUUCAUAUUUGAAUGACGAAGAAUUGCAACGAAAGGAAAUUUAAUUAUUUCUAAAAUGUAUA